UUGCAGCCACAUCACAUUGAAACAUUGGUUCCUGUUAGAUCACUGAGGUUAAGCAAUAUUGACCCUGGUCAGUAACUUGAUAGGUGACUGCCUGGGAAAACCAGGUGCUGUAAG